AUAGCAAGUCAGUCUAUCGCCGCAAUGACCGAAUCGUUCUUUGGAUGUUUCGUGUAAUUGAGGAGGAAAGUCCGGGCAAUAAAGGGCACCUUGCUUCCUAACAGGAAGAUAUCCGUGAGGGUAUAGUAAUGCAGCAGAAAAUAACCGUCAGGCUUUGCUUGAUAAGGGUGAGAAGGUGAGGUAAGAGCUCACCGGUAUCCGUGGUAACACAGAUAGCCGUGCAACUCAAGGAUUGCAAGACCAAAUAUAUCACGAUUUCGUAAGAUACGGAGCGGCCCGUUCUGGUGUUUCGGCAGUCGUGAGGGGUAGGUUGCUGAAGGUCAUGAGUGAUCAUGAUCGUAGACAAAUGAUAGACCGCUCUUUUGGGAGCGACAGAACCCGGCUUAUCGACUUGCUAUUUUU
rnacentral:RNase_P_RNA from 2 species